GCGCUUGUAGCUCAGUUGGAUAGAGCGCUGGAUUCCGGUUCCAGAGGUCGGAGGUUCGACUCCUCUCAAGCGUACCA
rnacentral:tRNA from 1 species